rnacentral:rRNA from 1 species
GAUGAACGCUGGCGGCGUGCCUAAUACAUGCAAGUCGAGCGAACGGACGAGAAGCUUGCUUCUCUGAUGUUAGCGGCGGACGGGUGAGUAACACGUGGAUAACCUACCUAUAAGACUGGGAUAACUUCGGGAAACCGUAGCUAAUACCGGAUAAUAUUUUGAACCGCAUGGUUCAAAAGUGAAAGACGGUCUUGCUGUCACUUAUAGACGGAUCCGCGCUGCAUUAGCUAGUUGGUAAGGUAACGGCUUACCAAGGCAACGAUGCAUAGCCGACCUGAGAGGGUGAUCGGCCACACUGGAACUGAGACACGGUCCAGACUCCUACGGGAGGCAGCAGUAGGGAAUCCUCCGCAAUGGGCGAAAGCCUGACGGAGCAACGCCGCGUGAGUGAUGAAGGUCUUCGGAUCGUAAAACUCUGUUAUUAGGGAAGAACAUAUGUGUAAGUAACUGUGCACAUCUUGACGGUACCUAAUCAGAAAGCCACGGCUAACUACGUG